CCUACGGGAGGCAGCAGUGGGGAAUAUUGGACAAUGGGGGCAACCCUGAUCCAGCCAUGCCGCGUGUGUGAAGAAGGCCCUCGGGUUGUAAAGCACUUUCAGUGAGGAAGAACGCCUGGUGGUUAAUACCCAUCAGGAAAGACAUCACUCACAGAAGAAGCACCGGCUAACUCCGUGCCAGCAGCCGCGGUAAUACGGAGGGUGCGAGCGUUAAUCGGAAUUACUGGGCGUAAAGCGCGCGUAGGUGGCUUGAUAAGCCGGUUGUGAAAGCCCCGGGCUCAACCUGGGAACGGCAUCCGGAACUGUCAAGCUAGAGUGCAGGAGAGGAAUGUAGAAUUCCCGGUGUAGCGGUGAAAUGCGUAGAGAUCGGGAGGAAUACCAGUGGCGAAGGCGGCCUUCUGGACUGACACUGACACUGAGGUGCGAAAGCGUGGGUAGCAAACAGGAUUAGAUACCCCGGUAGUC
rnacentral:rRNA from 1 species